GGGGCCAUGGCUCAGGGGUAGAACAUCUGCCCUGUAUGAAGAAGUUCCCAGGUUCAAUUCCCGUCAUCCCCA
rnacentral:tRNA from 1 species